rnacentral:rRNA from 1 species
AUUGAACGCUGGCGGCAGGCUUAACACAUGCAAGUAGAACGAGUGGCGGACGGGUGAGUAAUGCUUGGGAAUCUACCUUAUGGAGGGGGAUAACUACGGGCAACUGUAGCUAAUACCGCGUACCAUCGGAUGAGCCCAAGUGGGAUUAGGUAGUUGGUGGGGUAAAGGCUCACCAACCGACCAUCCCUAGCUGGUCUGAGAGGAUGACCAGACACACUGGGACUGAGACACGGCCAAGACUCCUACGGGAGGCAGCAGUGGGGAAUAUUGCGAAAUGGGGGCAAACCUGACUCAGCCAUGCGGCGUGAAUGAAGAAGGCCUUCGGGUUGUAAAGUUCUUUCGGUAGCGAGGCGUUAACUACCGAAGACGCACCGGCUAACACCGUGCCAGCGGCCGCGGUAAUAC